UACGGAGGGUGCAAGCGUUAUCCGGAAUCAUUGGGCGUAAAGAGCGCGUAGGCGGCCCUGUAAGUCCGCUGUGAAAGUCAAGGGCUCAACCCUUGAAUGCCGGUGGAUACUGCAGGGCUAGAGUCCGGAAGAGGCGAGUGGAAUUCCUGGUGUAGCGGUGAAAUGCGCAGAUAUCAGGAGGAACACCAAUUGCGAAGGCAGCUCGCUGGGACGUUACUGACGCUGAGACGCGAAAGCGUGGGGAGCAAACAGG
rnacentral:rRNA from 1 species